ensembl:lncRNA
AUGCGCCUGUCAGUCCGGGCGCUGCGCCGCACUCGGCCCGAGCUGUUUGUAAAUUACAUUAGCGGCGCCUUUAUUGCACCCGAACCUCGGGCGACUCAAAAGCCGCCGCCCCCACCCCAAACUGCGAGCCUCGCUCCCGGCGCACCCGCCUCCCGCCGGCCUGGCUGCGAUGGUAGCGCCGGCCCGGAGGUCUCAGGCUCUCCGACCCGGGAUUUGGCGCCCGAGAAGGGCGGCGCGAGCCCAGCCGGAGAGGGACGCGGCCGCUGCGCGGGCCAGCAGGGCCACCUGAGUGUCUUUGCAGAAGCAGGUGAGAGGGCUGAUGGCACCAUGACCUCAGACAACUCCACUCCAGGCCCGCUGUGUGAUCUUGGGAGCUCACCAUUGCAGGAUCGUUCUGUGGCUCCCAGAAGCUUUCCAGCUUCUCGCUGACUGUUCCCGAGAAGAGGCCGCUCAGGCCCAGGGCUGCCUGAACCAAGGAGAAGAGGCGAGGUGGUGCGGGACGGCUGAGGCUGGCCACAGUGGCAAGGAGCUGCCUGAACAACCACAGAACCCUGGAAACCCGCUUUCCAAGGAGAAUGGCGGGUGAGGGAAGACAGGGCACAGACUUCUGCGUGACUAGGGCGGGGGAUGAAUGGAGAGCAAAGACUCCCCCUCAGUCUCUCUGUGCCUGGGGAUGGGGGGAGGGCGGGGUGCAGCAGCUGCCAAAAGGAAAGGGAUCUGCCCCCAGGAUGAGUUUGAGAGUUCCUGUGGCCUGACCCAGCCCUCCUCUUGCCCCUAGGAAGGCCCCAAGCCUCUGGCUGGAAGAGUCACCGAUAGUUAUAGCUGCAUAGACCGUGUACUAGAAACCCUGGAAAACCAGGGGGUGGAAGGGAGAGAGGGGAGCUUGUGGACUUUAUGGUAACUUACAUCCCCUAAAAAUCAGAUUUUUCAAAGAAUUUUCAUCACACAAAGAACAUUUUGGGGACGUAAUGAUAAGAAAAAAGUAGGAUACAAAGCAUUAGGUAUAAAGUGAUCCCAUUUAUGAAACAAAAAUAAAUCUAUAAAUUAAACAAAAAGACCAGAAUAAAGCCAGCAGUAUAGAGACAGUGGUGACUUCUGGUGUAAGAAUAUGUAUGAUUUAAUUUUCUUUAUACUUUCCUAUAGUUUCCAAAUUUCUCCCAUCAACGUACAUAAUUCAGAAAUGAUGAAAAAGAUUAAGAAGAUAAUUCUGGAGUCAAGCUGACACUCCAAAGGCAGACCCAGACCUUUUGCAGACCCCAAGCCCACUGUCUACUUCCCAGGUCUGUUUUGGUGAUCCUGGGUGGGCCCCCUUUAUGGCGGCCCAUGGGGGAGGGGCGGAGGCUCAGCAGCUGGGAGUCAGCUGUGGCUGAAGGCAGUCCCGUGUCCAAUGGGAGGCAGGGGCUCAUUUCCGAGCUGGACGGGGGCCAGGUUUUAAGGACCCAGGCUGCCAAGCAGCUACCUGAGUCACCAAUGUCAACAGCUCCUCCUCAACCCCAGUCCCUCAAAAAGAGGGUAGAGGCCUCAGAGUCAGCCUCUAUCCGAGGGUCUCCAGUCCCUACCCCAGUAACUGCUUCUGGCUUUCAGAUACAGGACAGGGGGUGAAAGCAGCCUCAUCCCUAGUUCUGAGAUUCAGUGAGAACCUGGAUUUAUGGAGAUACGCUCAGGCUUAUAUUCAUCCCCUUCCCUCCUUCUAUCCAUUCCUGCUCCGGAACUCCCAAGGCCGGGGACUCUGUCAGGACAAGAGUGUGGCUGGUUAGAGCUGGGAGGGGGCCCCACAGGGUCAAGGAGUUUUGGACCAAGGAGUCUCAGUUAAUCCCAGACUGAGGAUUAGUAAAAAUAUAGCUAAGAAAUUCUAGCCCACCUUCAAGUAUUCAAUUGUGUUAAAGAAACACACACACACACACACACACACACACACACACACACACGGCUUUUUAGAACAUUUAUUCAUGAGCACGUGUCAAAAUUUUAUUUCAAACUCACUAGAAGUGAAGAGACAGAAAAGAGACCAGUUAAAAGAUUACCUCUUGGUAGAUGCAUUUGGAGGAAAGAAUGGGGUUAGAAGUAUUGUUGAAAUGGACAUACAAAGAUAGAGUCUGGAUAAAACGAAUCACGCCCUCACUGACAGUUGGCGAGGUAGAUGGGAAACCGGUUUCUGAGAAGAAAAGGCUCUGUCCCCGGCAUGUUUGGGAUCCUUUUGUCUGACAGUUGGAAACACUGGCUUGGCUCCUGCUUUGGGGCUGGAGGCUCAAGCAUGAAGCAAUUGAUACGGAAAUUCUGGGUGCCUG